AGAGAGGUGGCCGAGUGGUUGAAGGCGCACGCCUGGAAAGUGUGUAUAUCCCCAAAGGAUAUCGAGGGUUCGAAUCCCUCUCUCUCUG
rnacentral:tRNA from 1 species